GUGCUCACUUUGGCAGCACAUAUACUAAAAAGUGGAACAAUAUAGACUAUAUUAGCAUGGCCUCUGCACAAGGAUGACCACAAAUUCAUGGAGCGUUUCAUGUUUUU